rnacentral:rRNA from 1 species
CUGAUGGGGGACGCGGAGGACAUUACCGAGUUUACAACUCCCAAACCCCUGUGAACAUACCUAUACGUUGCCUCGGCGGAUCAGCCCGCGCCCCGUAAAACGGGACGGCCCGCCCGAGGACCCCUAAACUCUGUUUUUAGUGGAACUUCUGAGUAAAACAAACAAAUAAAUCAAAACUUUCAACAACGGAUCUCUUGGUUCUGGCAUCGAUGAAGAACGCAGCAAAAUGCGAUAAGUAAUGUGAAUUGCAGAAUUCAGUGAAUCAUCGAAUCUUUGAACGCACAUUGCGCCCGCCAGUAUUCUGGCGGGCAUGCCUGUUCGAGCGUCAUUUCAACCCUCAAGCUCAGCUUGGUGUUGGGACUCGCGGUAACCCGCGUUCCCCAAAUCGAUUGGCGGUCACGUCGAGCUUCCAUAGCGUAGUAAUCAUACACCUCGUUACUGGUAAUCGUCGCGGCCACGCCGUAAAACCCCAACUUCUGAAUGUUGACCUCGGAUCAGGUAGGAAUACCCGCUGAACUUAAGCAUAUCAAAAGUCCGGGAGGACA